CCCACAUGGGCACGAAACAUACCACAUUUUACGGAGGAUGUAGCCCCAGAGAAGAGGGAGGUGGAGAAGCAUAAAUGAAAGGCACCUUUUCCUUCCUCUAGAAGAUGCACAGAGAAUUUCUGACCUUGUGACGUUUGGGAGUGAGGAGAUCCCAUACAGAGGCAUCCAGGUAUUUCCAGAGAUCCUGUGGCAGGUGAGGUCUGCCCUCGCUGGAGCCAACUCGUCUAUAAUAUCUUCCUAACAGCAGAACCUGGGUCUCACUCUGUCCCCUAGGCUGGAAUGCAGUGGUGUGAUCAUGGCCCACUGCAGCCUUGAACUCCUGGACCCAAGCAAUCCUCCCAUCUCAGCCUCCCAAGUAGCUGGAACUACAGGUACGGGAAAACUGGCUUAGAGAUGUUAAAUAUCCUGGAUUAUUGUCAGUUUAACAAAAUAAUUUCGGCUAUCAAAGAUCAAGUGGGAUAAAUUUCAGAGGAAGAAACUGAGCUCCUUGCAUACCAUAGAGGAGAGGUCGAGGUCCUUCCACUGAAGCACCAAGUGGGGUAUAUAAAGCCACACUGCCCAUGAGGGCUGUGGUGUGAGUCUGCUAGCCGUGAGAGACAGAUGCAUUACAAAGGGAUGGAUUUAGUGCACUCUUUCCUCUCUUACUCACAGCCUGAACAGCCAGUGAACAAUGAAACAAAACUUCUUCCCAAGCCUCAAUGAGGAUUGUGCCAUAGUUUGAAGAGAUGGCAUCAAGGUGAGUUGAUUCAGCAGCUUAACCUUGUCAUCGAGCAUUCCAGUUCUUUCAGCCUCUCUACUCUGCUGUCUGCAACAACAGUUUAUACAAAGGCUGGUUUCUUUCUCAUAUGAAGUCUUGCUCUGUUGCCCAGUCUGGAGUGCAGUGGUACGAUCAUAACUCACUGAAGUCUCAAACUUCUGGGCUCAACCAAUCCUCCCGCUUAACCUCCCAAGUAGCUGGGACGACAGGUGCAUGCCACUACGCAUUGCUAUUAAAAAAAAAAUUGUAGAGAUGGGGUCUUACUAUGUUGCCCAGGCUAGUCUUGAACUCCUGGCCUCAAGCAAUUUUUCCAUCUUGGCCUCUGAAACGCUGGGAUUACAGGUGUGAGACACCACAAGGCCUGAUUUUUUUUUUUUUUUUUUUUUUUUUUACUGGAAAUUGGAUUACAAUCCUUCUGAGUACAAUAUAAAAUACAUUGCUUGUUGUUGAAUAAUUUUAGGAAUGGAGUAGCAUCAUAUGGAGCUUCCAACAUUCUUAUUUUGAUUUUGUAGUUUUUUAAUAAACACAGAAGACUUAACUGUUUUGAAUGAAUUUACCCAUUGCAAGCAAUUAACAUCCAAUCACUUUACUUAAAAUAAUCAAACCAUUUGUGUAUAUAUAUACAGGAUAUAUUUCUACUGUUUACUGUCUCAAAGCAUUUUAACAAGCUAUUGUGCUGGCAGAGUUAAUUAGAUCUGAAAACUGGUAUAAUAAAAACAAUAAAAAACUGUAAGAAUGCAUUAAAAUAGAACACCAAAAUAAUAGAACCUAAGGUUUCUAAAGUUGUAUUUGACAAGUCAAAUGUUCCUUAAUAACUGGAUGCAUCAGAAUACAUUGUUCAUUAUAAUAUUAAAGGCAUGUAAUGAAAUGAAAAUUGAAGCAAUAGAGAAUUCAGUAUGCACAAUUAUUUUAAAUUUAAAAUCUUACCCAUAAUGAACAUAGCUAAAAACAUAAAAGACAAAUGAUAGAGAAAUUAAAAGCAAUUAUCAAAGGAAUUCUCAGCAGAAAUUUCUGAUUUAAAUUAAAGCCUAUGAUUAAAAAUCUCCUGCCUCUUUGUCCCUC
rnacentral:lncRNA from 1 species